rnacentral:lncRNA from 1 species
AAAGUGCCUGUAAAUAAACCCUGAGUGGGCAACAUGAACGGCCGCAGACCAGAGAAAAUGAGAAUCCAGUUAAACAAGUGCAUGAAAUAUGCCCCUUAGUCCACCCAGCCUGCAACACAAAAGCACAGAACAGGCAGCUUCUAAACCACAGACAUUGACUUCCUUCCGUUCUGGAGGCCGGAAGUCCAAGAUGGAGGGUCCCGCAGAUUCCGUGUCUGGUCUUUUUCUACAGAAACAUUGGCAAAAUCAUCUUCAUUGUUCAUAGAUUGUUGCAGCAGAUCCAACUGAAGGAUACGCCAACCACUUUAAUCAGACACAAAAGAACAGGCUGUCCUCAUCUGACCACCACCCACAACAACCAAACUUUAAUCAAACACAAAAGAACACGCUGUCCUCACCUGACCACCAGCCACAACAACCGAACUUUAAUCAGACACAAAAGAACAGGCUGUCACCUGACCACCACCCACAACAACCGAAGGGCAGGGUGAGUCCAUUUAGAGUCUCGAGAAUUUUAGACGUGCAUUCACUUUAAAGCAGGGCUCAGGACCAUGACCCCAGGCUGAGGACUGAGGGUAAAGUGCCACUUGCCACAUGGGGCCUCCGGGGGGAGUCGGGAAGAAACCCGCACAAGGAGGAUGAGACCGUCCCCCAGCAGGACUCCAGGACUCCAUCCCCAGGGCCAUGGCCACCCCAGGGCCGUUCAUGCCCAGAAACACCCUCCAUCCCUUGCAGGCAGGAACAGCAGGUGCAGCUCGUCUGCCUGCCAGCUUUGGGACCUCUAGGACUGACCGCUUCCUGCCUGGAUACCAGUCCUGUAAUGCUCUCAUCCUUGCUGUCUGAG